GCACUUCGGGAUAAGCCUGGGAAACUGGGUCUAAUACCGAAUAGGACCAUUUAGCGCAUGCUUUAUGGUGGAAAGCUUUUGCGGUGUGGGAUGGGCCCGCGGCCUAUCAGCUUGUUGGUGGGGUGACGGCCUACCAAGGCGACGACGGGUAGCCGGCCUGAGAGGGUGUCCGGCCACACUGGGACUGAGAUACGGCCCAGACUCCUACGGGAGGCAGCAGUGGGGAAUAUUGCACAAUGGGCGCAAGCCUGAUGCAGCGACGCCGCGUGGGGGAUGACGGCCUUCGGGUUGUAAACCUCUUUCAGCAGGGACGAAGCGCAAGUGACGGUACCUGCAGAAGAAGCACCGGCCAACUACGUGCCAGCAGCUGCGGUAAUACGUAGGGUGCGAGCGUUGUCCGGAAUUACUGGGCGUAAAGAGCUCGUAGGUGGUUUGUCGCGUUGUUCGUGAAAUCUCACGGCUUAACUGUGAGCGUGCGGGCGAUACGGGCAGACUGGAGUACUGCAGGGGAGACUGGAAUUCCUGGUGUAGCGGUGGAAUGCGCAGAUAUCAGGAGGAACACCGGUGGCGAAGGCGGGUCUCUGGGCAGUAACUGACGCUGAGGAGCGAAAGCGUGGGGAGCGAACAGGAUUAGAUACCCUGGUAGUCCACGCCGUAAACGGUGGGUACUAGGUGUGGGUUUCCUU
rnacentral:rRNA from 1 species